CCACGAAUGUGAGAUCUGACCUGAGCCGAAGUGGGAGGCCUAACCGACUGAGCCACCCAGGCGCCCCGAAACUUCUUGUCUUUUCAAAGACGCCUCUGGGGCCCUGCAAAGACUGAUAGGAGUGAAGGCAGAAGCAGGAGUCCAGGGCAGAAGUGACAACAAGAGUCCAGGACCCAUUCAGAAAGAUGACAAGGAUCCGAGAGAGCCGGCUGUGACUCAGCUCUGUGUCAUCGCUGCCGCUGUAAGGAGUUCCCGGGCCGCCCUCCACCGCACCGCCUAACCAUCCCUGAUGCUCUUCUCCGUUAACGGUGAUCCCAGCAUACUGGAAUGAUCGAUUCACGGGUGUGCCUUCGGCACAGAACCGUGAGGCCCUACAUGCAGGCGUCAUACGUGUCUGUGGAAUUGACUCCCAGGGCCUCUAUUAGCUGCUCUGACAAGGUCCCUGGACGGGCUGCUUGAAACCGGAAUUGAUCCCGGUCCGGAGACUGGAAGCUGCUCUCCGGCAGUCCGCAGAGCUGCACUCCCUCCUUCCGACUGCAGAGGGAAGAUCCUUCCGUGCCCUUCCCAGCUUCUGGCGGUUCUUGGCUUGUGCCCUCCACGUGGUCUUCUCUGUGUCCCCUCCCCUUCUCCUCUUGGGACACUCGUCAUUGGGUGCAGGGCCCACCCUGAUCCAGGAUGGUUUCCUGGAAAGAUUCUUACCUUAAUUCCAUCUACAAGGAUGCUUUUUUCCGAACAAGGUCACGUCCACAGGUUCAGGGUGGAUGUGCCCUGUGGGGGGCCACACUUUGGCGCAGUCUAGGCCCCACAGCUUUCUGGAGUCCUGGCUUGCUCUCUUUUCUCUUCACUUAUUUGAUGUUUUGAAGCCAGUGCAUACCCAGACCCUUGCCCUUGGCCCACAGCGGGGAACGAAGGGGGGCAUUUCCCUGCCAGGAGGGGAGGCACAGGCCCAGAUGCCAUCUGAUGGCGUGGCUCUGUGUUUCCAGCAUAGGCUGAGCCCCGGGGAAAUCUGCUUUUCUCCGUGGGCUCUGCCGAAGAGCGGGGGUGAGCCCCCCACCGGCCCCCCUUCCCGCACCCCCCCUGCUGAGAACACCCAGUGAACACCACUGCUCAUUCCUUCGGUGUGGGGCUGGGCUGAGUGAUUGUCAUUUCUCCUUCUCAUGUCAGAACUCUGUGUUCCCUUCAAUGGUCUGUGGGCUGGCCUCUGACCUGACGCCCGUUUCUUUCCAGGCCUGACAGGUUGGGUGAAGGGGGAGCGCUCCUCUGAGCUGAGGCAGACUUCUUGGCCUCCGAGCUGUGAGCUGCUUACGCUCUCCCUCCCCAAGAAUGCCCACAGCUCCUGCCCUGACUUUUUCCGGACAGCAGACAGCCAUGCCUCCUCCCCCCUGCCUCCCUUCCCUCUGAUGCAGAAUGGCCAGCUGGCCCAGCGCCGGGUCUUUUACAGCCUGUGGAGAGACAGAUCAUGUGCAGGGGAGGGGCAGAGAGAGAGAGG